rnacentral:rRNA from 1 species
UAAGACAGAGGGUGCAAACGUUGUUCGGAAUUACUGGGCGUAAAGCGUGUGUAGGCUGCCUUGUAAGUCGGAUGUGAAAGCCCCGGGCUCAACCCGGGAAGUGCACCCGAUACUACAAGGCUGGAGUCUCGGAGAGGUUGGUGGAAUUCUCGGUGUAGAGGUGAAAUUCGUAGAUAUCGAGAGGAACACCGGUGGCGAAGGCGGCCAACUGGACGAUGACUGACGCUGAGACACGAAAGCGUGGGGAUCAAACAGGAUUAGAUACCCUGGUAGUCCACGCCGUAAACGAUGGGUGCUAGGUGUCACGGGUUUUGACUCUCGUGGUGCCGCAGCUAACGCAUUAAGCACCCCGCCUGGGAAGUACGGCCGCAAGGCUA